CCGUAUAAAAACGAACCAUUGAGUCUAUUGGAAAAACUGUAGAAAACCAUUAGAUUCUUAUGUUAACAAUGAAUUCUAUUGUGUAUGCACUGUGGAAUACUUGUUUAAAUUUGAUUCGUUACAAUAGAUUAACAUUAGAUUCCAUUGUUACAGUAUUUUCUAUUGGCAAACAAUAGAUUAACAUCAGAUUCUAUUGUUUUAUAUCAUUUCACCAUUGUUUUUAGCGGUUUUAGCAAUUUUGGAUUUUCUCCUUUACUGUGCCGUCCACAAAUUACGCAACGCUUUUAGGGUAGAGGGAAGUACGGCCAUAGACUAACUACGGUAUGGCCAAGCGUUACGGCUCAUAUUAAAAAAAAAAAUAGAAUUUUCAUACGAAAAUCGUUACAAAGGGGAGAUGGGGGGUCUUAAACUGUAGAUUUUAGCGUUACGUAAUAAAUGGAUACUGCCUAAAAGGACAGCUGAAAAAAAUCAGUUUUGGGAUAUUUUUAUUUUAACUGGAAAUGAGUAAAUUGUACACAUUUUUGUGCAAUAUUUUUUUGGUGUGUACAUAUAAUCAACACAAAAACAAAGUGCCGAACGGUGAUGUUUUUUUUGCAGCUCGAUUUUUGCAAUUAGUUACCAAAAUCCGACCAAAAUCAUUCUGGGAGACAUCCGGCCGUCAUGUCGAGGCUUUCCAACACCCCACUCCCGCCAUCGUUACAACCAGCAGCAGCAGCAGGGCGUUUUCGUGUUCAACAAGCAAAACCGGUGCCGCUUCAGCCAGAAAGGUGAGGUUGAGCUCGCUUAGCGGAUUUUGCGGAUUUUCACCUUGACACGGAGGCAUCGAGGCGCAUAUGGUUCUGGAGGAAGAGAAGCAGGUCUUGUGGAAGGACGUCGCGUCGCUUCGGACGCACAGAUAUUAACGGAGGAGUGUACCGAAAUAUGCCUCGAAAUCGAGAAAGGCAUUAGGUUAACUUGAUAGGGACGGGGUUACGACGAUUAUUGGAAUCCUAUAGUAGAAAUCCUAGGAUUAAAGUUGAGGAGUUUCUAGCUGCCUCUAUUCAGCAUCUUAAGGAUGAAUUUCGACGAGGGAAGGCUGGCUUGACUGUAAGUAUGUAUAGUUAAUUGUUAAUAGGACCCUCUCCAAAAACUACGUCGACUCUUGAGAGGGAUCUGAGAUGGCCACUGAGAGUAAUUAGGACAGCGUCAUAGCCAAAUUAUUUACGUCGGCGGGAAAUAAUUCAUUUUAUUCGGAAUAUUUUCGGAAACAUAUUUUUCUUGAGUAUUGCGCUUGAGGAACUUUCUUUAGAUUAGAUUGUUUUAGACACUAUUCGUCAUCGCCAUACAACAUUUUUACAAUUUACUUUUAUCAACUUUUCGCACAUAGAAGGUCGAUGCGGUGAGUAGGAUAUCAGCCGAAGCAUUACAUUCAUUGUAUCAAACGUUUCAAUUAAGCUCUUUAAAUUUAAAUUACAAUUUCAUCGGACUCGUUUGGUGAAACCAAGUAUGAUACUUGUUACUGAAUUAGAAACGGGAUUAGAACCAUCUUUUGCAUUUGGUCGCUUUGCAACGUCUUCUAAUAUAGGAUCGCUCUUUAAGCGUGGAACACAUACGUGCGCUUGAGUCAAAUUUUAUAGUUAUCCCAUGGAUUAACUAUCAAAUUCGAUGCAAUUGCAUGCUGUAUUCCGCAAACUGUUCAUCAACUAUAAAUGCUGCAAUAAUGGUUAAGCACGCUGUAAUGUUACUUUUGUACCUCAUCACCCACUGAAUGCAACUACAUUAGUGGUCUAAUAACACUUAGCGCGCUUCGGCACGGUUCCAUCAUGCCGCUUAUAGUGUUGCCACAUAUAAUGCUUAGUUUGCUAAACCCAGUUAUCUGGCUGGUGGGACAUGGGAGCCCAAGCUUCAACCAAUAAUGCAGUUAGACGUUUAUUGAACAAUAAAAUGAGCAAUUCGAAUAUUUGAAGAACUAUUCAAAUUACAUUGAAGCUUGUGUAUAAAGUCAACAUUGAACGAACUUAAUCUAUGCAAUAUCUUGCAUUUUAACGCUUCGAACGAUCUUCAAGUAUAGGUUCAAGUUGUAGUAUAUCGAGUAUUUUAAGUGCUACAACAAUGGUUAAGCACGCUGUAAUGUUACUUUUGUACCUCAUCACCCACUUCAUGCAACUACAUUAGUGGUCUAAUAACACUUAGCGCGCUUCGGCACGGCUCCAUCAUGCCGCUUAUAGUGUUGCCACAUAUAAUGCUUAGUCUGCUUAACCCAGUUAUCUGGCUGUGGGGUAUGGGAGCUCAAGCUUCAACCAUCAAUGCAGUUAAACAUUACUCGAUUUACAACAUGAGUGAUCCAAAUAUUUGAUAAUUAAUCGAUCGAUCUGUGUUUUUGAAAUGUAGCUUAAAAUAUACAAGCUUCUAGUCCAAAUGCAUAAUGGUAGUUCAGUUCCGUUUCAAUCAGGAUUUGUUCAAGCAGUUUAUAUUUUUUUCUAAAGUAAAACUUAGAAGUUAAAGUUAGAAUUUUCAGUUUCACAAUAGAAAACAAUUUCCAAACCAUUGGAUUCGACGUAAAAAUAGUUGAACACAGUAUGUGCUGUAUCUCAAUAGAAAACAUUUCCAAAACAAUAAAAUCUAACGUGGAGCCAAUAAUAAAGUCACAGCUCAAACCAAUAUGCUUACCGUACAUUUCACUGUUGAGAACAAUUUAAAAACAUAAGAAUCUUCUGUAUUACAGUAGAAAACAAUUCUCAAACCAUUGAAUCAAAUGUGGAACCAGCAAUAAAAUCACUACUCAAAACAAUA